GUCUACGGCCAUACCACCCUGAACGCGCCCGAUCUCGUCUGAUCUCGGAAGCUAAGCAGGGUCGGGCCUGGUUAGUACUUGGAUGGAUAUAUACCCAGAAGUAAGACUGUGGACC
rnacentral:rRNA from 1 species